CCUACGGGUGGCAGCAGUGAGGAAUAUUGGUCAAUGGGCGCGAGCCUGAACCAGCCAAGUAGCGUGAAGGAUGACUGCCCUACGGGUUGUAAACUUCUUUUAUAAAGGAAUAAAGUGAGGUACGUGUGCCUUUCUGUAUGUAUCUUAUGAAUAAGGAUCGGCUAACUCCGUGCCAGCAGCCGCGGUAAUACGGAGGAUCCGAGCGUUAUCCGGAUUUAUUGGGUUUAAAGGGAGCGUAGGCGGGUUGUUAAGUUAGUGGUGAAAGUUUGCGGCUCAACCUUAGAAUUGCCAUUGAUACUGGCAGCCUUGAGAGCAGUUGAGGUAGGCGGAAUGCAUGGUGUAGCGGUGAAAUGCUUAGAGAUCAUGAAGAACUCCGAUUGCGAAGGCAGCCUACUAAGCUACCACUGACGUUGAUGCUCGAAAGUGUGGGUAUCAAACAGGAUUAGAUACCCGAGUAGUC
rnacentral:rRNA from 1 species